GGCAUUUUUCUGUUCUUUUUUUUUCUCUUCCCCUUACCUUAACGGAUUUCUUGCAGUUUGGUUUGACAACUGGUUCUGCCACCAAUAGACACAAAGUCACUCAUUGUCUUCUGAAGGGGAAAAGAAAACAAGUUUUAAUGGUUUCAAGAGCAAAGUGUUUCAUUGCUCCUGGUGGUUAUAGGUUGGAUCCAGCAUUCGGCAUGUGGAGCCCCCGUCCAUGUGUGAAGUCUCUCCACAGAUUGCAGGGCUGCAAAACGUGGGCGCCGUGGUUAACUUGAAAUUCCGAUCACCAGUGUUGAUCUUCUAGAAAUGACCUUUACUGCUGCAUCCCAUAUGAGUGUCAGCAGCUCAGCUUAGACCAAACAGAGCUCGCUGCCUCUUCUGCCUGAAUGAAGCAAAAGCGAUGAAAGAGCCAGCGGAGAGGGAGGUCGAUGGGUUACGGAAAGGUCACCCGGCGUAUCUGCUUUCAGCACAGACUUUAGUCAGCCAUCUGCUCGCCCCUUUUUAAUCCCAGAUUCCUCUGUUUGAAACUUUGCAACCGUUCCUUUGUUUUGCAGAGGUGGAGUGACUUCAGUCUCGUGACGAACAACCCCUUACACAAUGACUUCUGAUUACUGUGUUUGGAAGUGAUCAUUUUAUAAAGGAAGAAGGUUUUACUAUGUGGGUCAACAUGAUGGCAUUUUAAGAUAAUGCAUUAUUUAAAAUUCUACAUCAUGUAAUGGUUAACUUGCAUGUAUCAUAUUGUACAAUAAAGGUAAAAUAGCUACUCUUAAACACUGUGGCAUCAUGUUAAGAAAUACUCAUUACUGAAAAAUACUCGCAAAUUUAACUACAAAGGGUUAUCUUAUAGACCCCCUCCAAUCGUCUUUGAUUUCUUUUAAAAGUCAAAACAUCUGUCUGUCUUCUCUUAGUACAUGGUUUCUGUAGAGUGACGGGAGUUCAUCAGAAAUUCGUGUCUGAGUUGGAAGACGGCAGGUGUGCAAAUGACCCACUCCAGACUUCGGGAAGUAGUGAAGAAAACAAUACAGGACUCUUUCCAGACCCUGUAAUUGGAAUGAGUACACUUUAAAUCCUUUAACUUGGAUUCAUUGGAGGGCAAGGCUGGUGCCGGCAGCUGCGGUAAUUCCAGCUCCAACAGCGUAUCUUAAAGUUGGUGCAAGCAACCCGGCCCCCACUGCCACCUUCCCAUCCCUGUUGCUGAGAGCUCUUUAUUUGUGCUCUCCUGCUAGCUUGCAGCCACUCACUCCCCCGACCUAACAUUAGCGACAUGUGGUGCAGUG
rnacentral:lncRNA from 1 species